GACUUGUAAGGUAUGUGUAUUCCAAUCCACCUUACUUCGGCCCUGGAAAAUCAUGGUCCCACACUUAUUUAGUGUAUUUUAAACUAAUACAUUUGUUUUUUUGUAUAUUUCAAGUCAACUUCAAGAUCGACAUGGAAUGUUAGGUAUGUUCAAGUAUAUAAACCGGGUAAAGACUGAGCAGUAAAAAGAGUGGGAGUACGAGCUACACGUAUAGUACCAAACUUAUGCAUCUUCUACUGAAGCUCUAAUCAGUCCACCCCCGGAGUUUGUGAAAAGAUAAACGAGUGGCACUGGCUCUGCGGUCAUUUUUUGAGCUCGAAAUUUCUGGUAGUUUUUUUAAAUUUCAUUUCAAUUUUCAAUUUUUUUUUAAUUUAAAUUUUUGAAUUUAAUUAAUUUUUUUAUCCACAACAAAAACAGAAGCUAAAUAGGGUAACUCGGAAGCGAAGCAGUACCUCCAUCAUUCUAGCUUUCGGGCCCUCACUUUUAGGGUCAAAGGACGGCUUGAGACACAUUUUUUUAUGGAAACCAGAUUGUUGACGACAUUUAUGUAAGUAUUCCGUUCAAAAAUUUAAUUUUAAGUUUCAUUACACUUCAAAAAAAUUAAAAUUAUGAUUGGUAAUUUUAAUUGGUUUCCUUCUUUUUUUUUUGCAGGCUUCUAUUUCACAAAAGCAUGACGAGUGUCUCGCCAAACUCUCCUAGCAGCAAUCAGACUCACCUACGGAGCAACUAACACCUGAUCUAAAUGUUUCUACAGUUGCUAAUGGACGAGGUUAGGCUAUGGACAGGCUGAGAGCUUUGUGGUCUAGGAGCGAGUCAGGUUCGAAACGUUUGUGCGACAACCGUUGCCUGACUAAAUUUUUUGACAAAUUUCUAUCGAGUGAAAAUUUAGGUGACUGAACCUUUAUUUUGCCCGAUCAAAUCCUUUCAACUGGACAUGGCUUUUUUUUAUUUUUGUAGUGAUACACAAUCUCCUAUUUGACUGCAUACAAAUAGAUAGACCGGGUCAUCCUUUUUAUGUUUGUAAGGAUGAUCUUUAAAUGAAGAAUAAGAAUUGACAGUUUGUAUUACAUAAUUUAUAUGGUAGUUGGAUGUUAUCUGCAACGGAUGGUGGGACAUGUUCACUUCCAUGGGGGUAUGCAAAGAUUAUUCUCUAGAAUUAUAUUCAAUAUUCAAGGAACAGAAACCUAAUUGCUAGUUUAACGUACUCCUACCAAAAUGAAGGCAAUAAUCACAAGAGUGUUUCUCGUGGAUGGUGAAUUUGAUACCGAAUUAGGCUACUUAUUGUAUGGCUUAGCCGAAAUUCCCCUCUCCUUAGCGUAAACAUAUCGAUGUACAAAAAAAAAAAAUCACAAGAGUGUUACUAUGCCCACUCCAUAGUCUUAUAUCCUCACCCACUUUUUAGUGAAAAUUUUAAUAUCAAAAUUAACCUUAAUCAAAAUUAAUACUCUUAUAUAUUCUUUGUAGACAAAGAAAAAAUAAAUAGAAAAAUAAUUUAAAAAAUAAAAAUGAGCAACGAAUCAAACCUCCCCAUUUUCUCCCUUCAUCCUUCAUCCUUCACCCUUCACCCCUGUCUAGUCUCUUUCGUUCUCCUCCAUCUUCUCUAUCUUCCGUCCACCCGACCCACACCAAAUUAUAUCUCUUCUUUUCUUCCUACUUUUCAACCCCUAAAUAUGAAUUGGAAUUCGGGAAUAAAUGUGGACAUAAAUCC
rnacentral:lncRNA from 1 species